rnacentral:rRNA from 14 species
AACAUUUAGAGAAUGCCUAUAUAUUAAAACUUAAAAACGGACGUUUUAUUAACGAAAUUUUGUGACGAGUACGAUAAUGUGCUGAGAGUUACAAUUAUCCGAAUAGGAAACUAUAUAAUUAUUUUAAAGUUUUAGAAUUUAUGUAUCUAAAACUAAACUUUAGUGAAUUGAAUCAUCUAAGUAACUAAAUUAAAAAAUCAACCGAGAAAUUGUGAGUAGUGGCGAACGAAAACAGUAAAGACUAAAUUAAAAAUUUAUUAUUUAAUAAUAAUUAAAGCCAUAGAAGGAAAAUUUUAAAAAAUAGCCCUGUAUAGUAGUAAAUUUAAAAUUUAUAAACGAGUAAAAUGAAACAAGUCGUGUUUUGUUUGAAUAUCGGGGGACCACCCUCGAAGUCUUAAAAUGUUUUAAUAUUUGAUAGCGUAAUAAAAAGUACCGUGAGGGAAAGGUGAAAAGAACUUGAGAGUUUGAAAAGAAUCUAAAACUAAAUGUUGACAAUCUGUUGAAGCUUACAAAAAGUAACAACGUACCUUUUGCAUAAUGGAUCAACGAGUUUAUUUUAGUGGCGAGCUUAAGCUAAAUAAGUGUAGGCUAAAAGAUAUUAAGUUUUAAAAUGCUGUUUAGUCUCUAGAAUAAGACCCGAAACUAAGUGAUCUAACCAUGAACAGGUUGAAUUUAUAGCGGUAACGCUUUUUGGAGGACCGAACUCGUGUAUGUGGAAAAAUACUGAGAUGAUUUGUGGUUAGGGGUGAAAGGCCAAUCAAACUUAGAGAUAGCUGGUUUUCUGCGAAAUCUAUUUAAGUAGAGCGUUUAAAUACUUCAAAUUUAGGUAGAGCACUCAUUAAAUGAUGGGGACGUAAAGUUUUACUGAAUUUAGUGAAACUCCGAAUAAGAUUUGAAAGAAUUUAAGCAGACAGACUUAAGAUGCUAAGAUCUUUAGUCAAAAGGGAAACAGCCCAGAUUAUUAGUUAAGGUCCUUAAGAAUAGUUAAGUGAAAAAAAAAUAAAAACAUUACAACAACCGACAGGUAGGCUUGGAAGCAGCCAUCCUUUAAAGAAAGCGUAACAGCUCAUUGGUUUAGUUUUUUUAUUUUUAAAAUGUAUAAGGACUAAAACUAUUCACCGAAACUAUAAAUUAAAAUUAUAUUUUAAUGGUAGCAGAACGUUCUGUAGUCUGUAGAAGAUUUAUGGUUACAUAAGUUGGAAGAAUCAGAAGUGAAAAUGUUGAUAUAAGUAGCGAUAAACAUUGUGAAAAACAAUGUCGCCUAAAAUUGAAGGUUUACAAAGAAAGGCUAAUCCUCUUUGUUAGUAAAUCGGUCCCUAAGAUUUAAACACGAAUGUUUUGAUUAAUGGGUAAAGAGUUAUUUCUUUUAUAAAAUUUUUUUUGAAUAUAAGUGACAAAAUAUAAAUUAAAUUUUUAUUAUAUGGUUUUAAUACAAGUUUAAUAGUAUUUUCAAGAAAUAGCUUAUUAAAAAUUUUUACCGUACUUUAAACCGACACAGGUCAAUAAAUUGAGUAAAUUAAGGCGAUUAAGAUAAUUGUGUUGAAGGAACUCGGCAAAAUGAUUCCGUAACUUAGGGAGAAGGAAUAACUUUUUAGGGAAACCUAAAAAAGUUGUCACAAAAUCGAGGACAGCGACUGUUUAAUAAAAACACAGGUCUCUGCAAAUUUGUAAAAAGAUGUAUAGGGACUGACGCCUGCCCAGUGCUGUAAAACUAAAAGUUAAAGUUUUGGCUUUUAACUAUAACUCUCAGUAAACGGCGGCUGUAACUCUGACGGUCCUAAGGUAGCGAAAUUCCUUGGCAUUUAAUUGGUGUCCUGCAUGAAUGGCGUAACGACUGUCCUACUGUCUCCAACACAAUCUUAGUGAAAUUGAAAUCUCCGUGAAGAUGCGGAGUACCUGCGGCUAGACGGAAAGACCCCGUGCACCUUUACUAUAGUUAUGUAUUGUAA